UCUUUUAGGAAUUUUGCAUAAUUUCUGAAACAGAGAGAAGUCUACUUUUUGCUUUCCAGGAAAAGUGGAACCAGAGGAGUGAGAAAGGAGUCAGUACUGUUCAUACCUGGAGCAAAGUUUUCUGAAAAGUGCUCUGGAAAAUUCCUGACUUUCUCCUUUGAUAAGUGGUGAUGCUGAAGCCAGAGAGCCACUUCCUCCCGAAGACACGCAUUUAGGCAA